AUAAAUGCGUGCACAGUCGUAAACACUGCGGUGAGACUGGCCAUGGCGUCCCAGACAGAACCGGUCAUGGAGAGUCCAAGAAACGACGCGGAAGACCCUCUCAGUACUAAGCGACUGAAGAGGGUUGGCGAGAUGUUACUUACCCUUGAUAAUCAGAUAUCGCUAUGCAACAACGUCCUGGAGGAUUUGCAGGAGUUGCAGAGUGUUGUUUUGAAGAGGAAUCUCCAGGAUGCACGGCUACCAUCUCCAAAGUGAUUCAACAAGACGCAGAUUUUAUGUCUAACUUGCAUAUUUGAAUAAAUUACAACUAAAGUAG